CUUCAUCCAGACCUACCAAGUCAAAAUUUGUGGUCCAAAAUCCUCUCACUAGCUUCUGAGUCUAUAACCAUCCUUGUUAGUAAUAAUAUUAUUAUUCUUCCUAGCCACAGCUACUCUAGAGUUUGCUUUGAGGCACCCAUGGUGCAGAUGUGGUUAUAAAGAUUCUUGUUCUACUCCUCUUUCAAACAUCUCUCUGCAGAAUUUUAGCAUUUCUCAAAAAUAUUUCAAAACACACUUCAGGAAGGAAGGGCACCUGAUAUAUGCAUCUCUAUAGCUUUCUGAGCUUGGACAAAUCACAGUUUCAGUGAUACCACAUCAACACCAUUCACCAUGAAGGAAGACAAGACAGAAGAGUGCAUGAGCCUGUGGACAGAGAGGACCAGAGCAAAGCAGUGUCUUCUGGACAUGGCAAGACUGCUACAUCCUUGAACUUAGAGCAGCUGUGGUUGCCCAAACAAAAUCAAGCCAGUCAACAUUCUAUUAUAGAGUAAGAAGGAGCUCAGGAGACUCCACCCAUGACUGAGAAGCUAUCUGUGGACAGGUGAAAUAAUUUGAAAGAAGAAAUGAAAGAAGUGAAAUCAGUUAUGUCUUCAAAAGCUAUUCAUAAAUAAUAUUGAAAAAAAACCCAGAGAGUGGAGCCAUCUUACCAACCCCAAACAUAUGGAGGCUUUUUACGCUGGAGGAAAACUUACAAGGCUCUCUCAACUGGCUUCAUAAAUAGGAUCUCAUCUUAACAGAGGGGAGACCAAAGUUCCGAGGAGAAAUGCUGUGCUCAGGCUCCCAAAGCAAGAAACCAGCCCAGCCCCUCCAUCUUCCACCUUCCUCAUCUCACCGUCUUGCUCAGAAGAUGCCACGGAGCAGCACACACACACAGCAGAUGCACUCCCCCAGCAGUCGAAAACUGCUAUAUGAAUUCCAUUCAACCACCAUUGGCUCCUCCAUUCUCAGGGGACACUAAAUGGAGCAAGGGCAGCAGCAGUUCUUACUGAUUUUUUGCUCACCAAUAAAAUAACAAUUGUUAGCCCACAAAAUGUCUAAAAUGGUCUACAUCUGAUCCAUUUCAUGAUAUUUCCUUCUCACAGACAGCUCCCUUUCCCACUGCUAACUGGGAUUUCACAAGCUUUGUGACUUUUCAGUCAAAGUCGACAUAGUGUGGCUGGUUCAUCAACACAAACCUUGCCUUGUUCUAUGACCCACUGGAACAGCUGUCUACUGACUUUACCCACCAGCAAAUCUUCCCACACUGCCUAAACUAUUUUACUUCACUUCAUAGUUUCUGAAA